rnacentral:snoRNA from 1 species
UCGGCGCUCGUGAUGAUUUACAAUUAAAAGCAUAGUUCAUCUGAGCAUCCAUGAAGACACCCAUGUAUUUUAUAGUCUUUCGCUCCCAUCUGAUGCGCCUU